AGUGAACGCUGGCGGUAGGCCUAACACAUGCAAGUCGAACGGCAGCACAGUAAGAGCUUGCUCUUACGGGUGGCGAGUGGCGGACGGGUGAGGAAUACAUCGGAAUCUACUUUUUCGUGGGGGAUAACGUAGGGAAACUUACGCUAAUACCGCAUACGACCUACGGGUGAAAGCAGGGGAUCUUCGGACCUUGCGCGAUUGAAUGAGCCGAUGUCGGAUUAGCUAGUUGGCGGGGUAAAGGCCCACCAAGGCGACGAUCCGUAGCUGGUCUGAGAGGAUGGUCGGCCACAUGGGAAUGGGACAAGGUCCCAGCUCCCAACGGAAGCCAGCAGUGGGAAAUAUUGGCCAAUGGGGGCAGGCUGAAGCCGGCCAGACGGCGGGGGGGAAGAAGUCCUUGGGUUGGUAAAGCCCUUUUUUUGGGAAAAAAAAGCAGCAGGUUAAUACCCCGCGGUUCGGAGGUAACCAAAAGAAGAAACACCGGCAACCUUCUG
rnacentral:rRNA from 1 species